rnacentral:lncRNA from 1 species
AAACAUGGUCUUAUGAUACAGGAUAUUAUGAAGAAACAGAACGAACAAGAGACACAGGGUGACUUCUUGAAUAUGAAAAAUAUUAUUACUAUACUUCCAUUAAUGGCAUGAUUAGAAGUGAGAAAAAUAUACAUAAACAUCUCUACAUUAGGACAAAGGAGUAAUGCAAAAAAAAGGAAGCUAAUAUGAAGCAAUAAACUAGAAGAUGAAGUUUGAGAAAUCCAAGUUCCAGCUCAACUAGCUGGCUUGGGAAUCUGAAAAAGUUGAAAUUCUCAUUUGCCUAUGUAGAAAGCAGACAUACACUACCUCAUAGAACCAUUGAAACUUAUUGAUAUGUGCAAAUCAUU